rnacentral:tRNA from 1 species
GCUCAGUUGGUUAAGUGUCUGACUCCUGAUUUCUGCUCAGGUCACCAUCUCACAGCUCCGUAAGUUUGAGUCCCACACUGGGCU